rnacentral:rRNA from 1 species
GAGUUUGAUCAUGGCUCAGGAUGAACGCUAGCGGCAGGCUUAACACAUGCAAGUCGAGGGGCAGCGCAGGUAGCAAUACUGGGCGGCGACCGGCAAACGGGUGCGGAACACGUACGCAAUCUACCUUUAUCUGGGGUAUAGCCCGGAGAAAUCCGGAUUAACCCCCAUAAUAUAUAGGAGUGGCAUCACUCAAAUAUUAAAACUCAGGUGGAUAAAGAUGAGCGUGCGUCCCAUCAGCUAGUUGGUAGGGUAACGGCCUACCAAGGCGACGAUGGGUAGCUGGUGUGAGAGCACGACCAGCCACACGGGCACUGAGACACGGGCCCGACUCCUACGGGAGGCAGCAGUGAGGAAUAUUGGUCAAUGGACGCAAGUCUGAACCAGCCAUGCCGCGUGAAGGAUGAAGGCCUUCUGGGUUGUAAACUUCUUUUAUUGGGGAAGAAAACUAUGGUUUCUACUAUAGCCGACGGUACCCAAGGAAUAAGCACCGGCUAACUCCGUGGCAGCCGCCGCCGUAAC